rnacentral:misc_RNA from 1 species
AAGUCGUAACAAGGUUUCCGUAGGUGAACCUGCGGAAGGAUCAUUAAAGAUUUGGGCUUCGGCCUAACCUCUUCAGCUGUGCGCUUCGGCUGCACGCUGUCGAAACCUCUCACACCUGUGCACCUUUUCGGUUGCGGCGUUCGCGUCGCUUCCGCUUUACACAUUUUACUACAAAAGUCCAGAAUGUCAAAACUAUAAACAUAAUACAACUUUCAACAACGGAUCUCUUGGCUCUC